CUAAAUGGUACCAUUGAAUGAAUGGGGCUAAGCUAAAUGCUAUUGAACCGUCGCAGCGCGCUCCAGCACUUACGUGCACGCACACAGAUGAUAGAGGGAUGUGUCAACAAUUCUUAGUUAAGGUGAUUGAGUGAGACAGAUGUGUUUACACAGUGAUCAGUAAUAAAUGAUCUGCAGGCUUGCUUAAAGUUCAGAGUAAUGGAUGGACAGAGACGAGUCUAUCUAAACACGCAGAGACACACAGCCUGUGGUGAUGGACAGGUCGGCUGUGACUGCCAGAUGUGUCAUCAUUACAAAUGGGUCCAGUUCAGAUGAAGAAUGCCUGUUUCUUUCCAGAUUUAAAAGCUGGAUUGUCCAAUAAAUGAUAGCAGGUCAGUAUGUGGGUCGCAGAUGUCGUCAUUGGUCGAGGUGAGAGGACCAUUAGCCGCUGUUAAAUGCCGAUGUUGGCAUUCAGCAGAGAGUCUGUGUGGAAACGAAACAACAAACAGCGUUCAUCCACAACCUUCCUUAUCUCCCAUGAGUCCUCCUUGUUGUGCUGGUAAGUCCCAUCAAUAAAAGUCCACAUCUGUUACUGUGCUGUUCAGCAUGUAAAACACACAUCAAAUUCAAUGUCAUUUAUAUAGCGCACAAUUGUUCAUUCUUUCAGACACAUUUUAUAAAUGUAGUAGGGCUGUCAAAAGAUUAAUCGUGAUUAAUAA